UACGUAGGGGGCGAGCGUUGUCCGAAUUUACUGGGCGUAAAGCGCGUGUAGGCGGCUCUUCAAGUCAGGUGUGAAAUCCUGUGGCUCAACCACAGAACUGCACCUGAAACUGAAGGGCUUGAGUUUGGGAGAGGAGAGUGGAAUUCCUGGUGUAGCGGUGAAAUGCGUAGAUAUCAGGAGGAACACCCGUGGCGAAGGCGGCUCUCUGGCCCAACACUGACGCUGAGACGCGAAAGCUAGGGGAGCGAAC
rnacentral:rRNA from 1 species